UACAGAGACCUCAAGCGUUAUCCGGAUUUACUGGGCGUAAAGGGUCCGCAGGUGGUUUUGCACGUCGAUGGUUAAAUGUUCGGGCUCAACCCGGACACCGCCGUCGAUACGGCAUGACUAGAGCAUGGAAGAGGUACGCGGAAUUACCGGUGUAGUAGUAAUAUGCGUUAAUAUCGGUAAGAACACCAAAUGCGAAGGCAGCGUACUGGGACAUUGCUGACACUCAGGGACGAAAGCGUGGGGAGCGAAAGGG
rnacentral:rRNA from 1 species